rnacentral:rRNA from 1 species
AAUGAACGCUGGCGGCAUGCCUAACACAUGCAAGUCGAACGAGGUCUUCGGGUCUAGUGGCGCACGGGUGCGUAACGCGUGGGAAUCUGCCAUUUGGUUCGGAAUAAUAGGUGGCAACGACUGCUAAUACGGGUUGAAGACGAAAAUCCAAAGCUUUAUCGCAAGAGGAUGAGCCCGCGCAGGAUUAGCUAGUUGGUGGGGUAACGGUGUACCAAGGAGACGAUCUGUAGCUGGUCUGAGAGGAUGAUAAGCCACACUGGGACUGAGACACGGCCCGGACUCCUACGGGAGGCAGCAGUGGGGAAUAUUGGACAAUGGGCGAAAGCCUGAUGCAGCAAUGCCGCGUGAGUGAUGAAGUCCUUAGGUUUGUAAAGCUCUUUUAGCCGGGAUGAUAAUGACGGUACCGGAAGAAUAAGCUCCGGCUAACUCCGUGCCAGCAGCCGCGGUAA